GACGUAGGGGGCCAGCGUUGUUCGGAAUUACUGGGUGUAAAGGGUUCGUAGGCGGUGUGGCAAGUCGGGAGUGAAAUUUCUGGGCUCAACUCAGAGACUGCUUCCGAAACUGCUGUGCUUGAGUGUGGAGAGGCGCGUGGAAUUGCAGGUGUAGCGGUGGAAUGCGCAGAUAUCAGGAGGAACACCAAUAGCGAAGGCAGCUCGCUGGGACGGUACUGACGCUGAGGCGCGAAAGCGUGGGGAGCGAACAGG
rnacentral:rRNA from 1 species